ACCAAUCUUCAGCCAUUAAACCUAAAAAAAAAAAAAGCAAAAACCCAUUUCUGCUAUCAGAAGCCGAGUGUUCUGUUAGUCUCUUUUGUUCGAAUUUUCCAAAUAGAUAAGUGAACGUUCUUUGUUCAAUUUCCAAGCUUUUUGAUCAUUUCAGUGCCAGCUUGAUUUCUUUUUUCUUUUGGUCAAGAGUUUUAAGGUUGAUUUCUACUCUGUUGGCUUUUUCUUCAACUCAAAAAGAGAAAAAAAAAGAAAAGGAAAAAACUUCAGUGGAAUUUUGUUUGAUUAUACAUUUCUUUCCUUGUAACUUCAAAAAGAAAGAAAAAAG
rnacentral:lncRNA from 1 species